GAUGAACGCUGGCGGCGUGCUUAACACAUGCAAGUCGAACGGAAAGGCCCAAGCUUGCUUGGGUUCUCGAGUGGCGAACGGGUGAGUAACACGUGGGUGAUCUGCCCUUCACUUCGGGAUAAGCCUGGGAAACUGGGUCUAUUACCGGAUAGGAUCACUUCUUGGAUGUUGUGGUGGAAAGUUUUUUCGGUGUGGGAUGAGCUCUCGGCCUAUCAGCUUGUUGGUGGGGUAAUGGCCUACUAAGGCGUCGACGGGUAGCCGGCCUGGGAGGGUGUACGGCGACAUGGGGACUGAGAGAGGGACCAGACGCCUACGGGAGGCAGUGGGGGGGAGUCUGACAGAAUGGGGGCAAGCGUGAUGCGGAGGCGCCGGGUGGGGGAUAACGUCUUACGGGUGAUAAACACCUUUCGAAGGGACCGAGCAGAUUUGGAAGGUAACUAGGAAAAGAGGCACCGCUAACUACGUG
rnacentral:rRNA from 1 species